rfam:Lichtheimia corymbifera JMRC:FST:9682, FST 9682, WGS project CBTN01000000 data, contig: SCAF00037
UCCUCUAUGGUCCAGUGGUCAGGAUCCCUGUCUUUCACACAGGUGGCCCGGGUUCGAUUCCCGGUGGGGGAA